UACGCACAGUUUGUAGUGCUGCUUCAUUAUGAUAUCAAUACUUGUAUCUACAUAGAUUUAUUAAGUCAUUCUUUUGUAUUAAACAAUGUCAGUCAAAUGCUUUUAAUAUGUCCAGUUAUUGUGUAAAGUUCAUUAGAAUUCAGUCGAUGUAAUUCGUGAUGGUACCUACAGCGGUCAUGGUAAUUUAAUGUCGCCAACAUCCAUAGGACCAUGGGGUCCUAAUACAGUACCAGUACUAUCUUUUGUAUUAGUAUUGAACUCUAUACUAUGGGCGAGCGCACUUGCAGAAAACAGCAAAUUUUAUCAUAUGCAAUCACUAUGUAAAAAUCACUUUUUGCAACAACUAUAUCGGAAAAUAGAUGGCGCUGUUCUUUUAUCUCAAAAUGAACGCAAUUUAGAUUGCGUAAUAACAUUCCAAACACACUCUGUGUUGCAACGAUUUAUGCUAAGAUUUGAUAUUCUACAACUUGACUGUAAUGACCAUUUAUAUAUAUACGAUGGAGCACAUGCUGGAGGUUUGCAUAAGGCGGAUAUUACGUGCCGAAAUACAAAAGAAUCUGUUGGUAUAAUUUUUCCUCGAAGCAACCUCGUGACAUUGAAAUAUGUCACGGACGGUUGGGGCACAGACAGCAAUGGAUUCAAAUUAGUAAUAACAGCUCUCAAAGAACCAAAACACGCAUGUAAAGACUUUCGUUGUAACACACGUGAAUUCUGCAUUCAUAAGGAUUUAGUUUGUGACGGUGUUGACCAUUGUGGUGAUGGAUCUGAUGAAGCCAGUAAUACAAUAUGUCAGAAUGAUACAAAGUCGCAAAUUUUUGGAAUGGAUAUGACCUGGUUCACAGUGACUUUGCUCAGUUUAUUACUUGUACUAAGUGCAUGUGCAGUAUCCAUUAUUAUUUGUUACUGCAGAAAAAAACAUAGAAAACUGCACCAUAGCAUCAACAAUCAAAUUCAAUUGCAACAGGUAUAUGACUUGAAUGGGGAAAUGAAGCCUUCUAUGCCGCACGGUACAACAUUAUUACAUCAGAUAGAAAAAAGACAUUGCACCGUGGAUCAUGUGAAUGCUACCGAUUCGGAAAACUGGACACGCCCUGCGACCAAGGGGUACUGCACGCCAUCAACGACCACCACGAAGGGGUGUCAUGCGUCGGCACGGAUGGCUCAACGGCAAACUCUCGCUUGCUGUCGAGCACUGUAAGAUCGACACCGGUCGUUCUCCUCAGCACGGACGGCGGACGAGCUCGUCAAUGUAAUGACGUAGCAGCGGACGCUGCAGUCCAGAUACAAACAGCGACGGAGGAUGCCAGUCAUCCCGGCCAAAAGGACGAAUGGUUCGUCUAACAAGUAGGAUCAAACAUUGGUCGCAGGGCGAUGCUCAUGAAUUGGAAAUCUCGCUACCUAUGACAAUUCCAUGAAUGAAAAUCAGUUGCACAUUUUAUUCAUAAAUAAAUAUAGAUAAACAAUAAAUAAAACGAUUUAAAUUAGU